rnacentral:rRNA from 1 species
GUGAGGAAUUUUCCGCAAUGGGCGAAAGCCUGACGGAGCAAUGCCGCGUGAAGGAUGAAGGCCUAUGGGUUGUAAACUUCUUUUCUCAGAAAAGAAUUAUGACGGUAUCUGAGGAAUAAGCAUCGGCUAACUCUGUGCCAGCAGCCGCGGUAAGACAGAGGAUGCAAGCGUUAUCCGGAAUGAUUGGGCGUAAAGCGUCUGUAGGUUGUUUAAAAAGUAUUCUGUCAAAGAUUAGGGCUUAACCCUAGAUAGGCAGAAUAAACUUUUAAGCUAGAGUUUGGUAGAGGCAGAGGGAAUUCCCGGUGGAGCGGUGAAAUGCGUAGAUAUAGGGAGGAACACCAAAGGCGAAGGCACUCUGCUGGGCCAAUACUAACACUGAGAGACGAAAGCGAGGGGAGCAAAUGGGAUUAGAAACCCUGGUAGUCC